UGGGAAUAAGCUUUUGAGUUGAAGUGUUAAAUUUUUGAUUUAGUGAAGCAUUUAUGAUGUGUGCAUUCCUAA
rnacentral:tRNA from 1 species